UCCCUUGUGGUUCAGUUGGUAGAGCAUGGCACUUGCAAUGUCAUUGUUGUGGGUUCAAUUCCCACAGGGGAC
rnacentral:tRNA from 1 species